GAAAUGCGAUAAGUAAUGUGAAUUGCAGAAUUCAGUGAAUCAUCGAAUCUUUGAACGCACCUUGCGCUCCUUGGUAUUCCUUGGAGCAUGCCUGUUUGAGUAUCAUGAAAUCUUCAAAGUAAAUCUUUUGUUAACUCAAUUGGUUUCUACUUUGGUAUUGGAGGUCUUUGCAGCUUCACACCUGCUCCUCUUUGUUCAUUAGCUGGAUCUCAGUGUUAUGCUUGGUUCCACUCGGCGUGAUAAGUUAUCUAUCGCUGAGGACACUGUAAAAGGUGGCCAAGGUAAAUGCAGAUGAGCUGCUUCUAAUAGUCCAUUGACUUGGACAAUACUUUUAUGAUCUGAUCUCAAAUCAGGUAGGACUACCCGCUGAACUUAAGC
rnacentral:misc_RNA from 1 species